rnacentral:rRNA from 1 species
AUUUCGGGAAACUUGAAGCUAAUACCAGAUAGAUAAGAGGUACUGGAAUGUCCUCUUAUCCAAAGAUUUAUCGCUUAAGGAUUGGACUGCUCCGGAUUAGGUUGUUGAUAGGGUAACGUCCUGUCAAGCCGAUAAUCCGUACGAGCCUUGAGAGAGGAAGCUCGGAGAUGGAUUCUGAGACAAGAAUCCAGGCCCUACGGGGCGCAGCAGGCGCGAAAAUUUCCCAAUGCACGAAAGUGUGAGGAAGGGAUUCGGAGUGCUCCCCCUUACAUAGGGGAAGCUUUUGUAGAGUGUAAAAAGCCUUAAGAAUAAGUGGUGGGUAAGACGGGUGCCAGCCGCCGCGGUAAUACCCGCGCCACGAGUGAUGACCACGUUUAUUGGGCUUAAAGCGUUCGUAGCCGGCCCGGUAAGUCCUUAGUGAAAUCCCGCAGCUAACUGUGGGGCUUGCUAGGGAAACUGCUGGACUUGGGACCGGGAGAGGUCUGGGGUACUCAAAGGGUAGGGGUAAAAUCCUGUAAUCCUUUGGGGACCACCCGUGGCGAACGCGCCAGACCAGAACGGAUCCGA